rnacentral:misc_RNA from 1 species
GAAAGGUUGGUUCAAAAGGGGAGGAAACCUGGUUUCUUUCAGCUUCUGGCAACUCAGACUGUCAGUGCUGUUUGGCAUGGUCUGUAUCCUGGGUACAUCAUCUUCUUCGUUCAGUCCGCGGUGAUGAUUGCUGGUUCAAGAGUUAUUUACAGAUGGCAACAAGCUAUUCCUCCAUCCAUGGCUUUCCUCAAAAGUAUACUCGGAUUUUUGAACUUUGCUUACACAGUUUUGG